UUUUAAACGAACACAUUGUGGGGAUUACAACAUAGAGAGUGAUACAUGAGAACAUCAACACGAACUGUUUGUUCUAAGCUGAUAGGGUGGGUAACUAGAUUUUCUACUGGUUCUCCGGUUAUGACAGGUCGUAGAAGCGUGCAGUAGGACGUCUUCGAUAAUUAAGUUUAACCAAACAUCACAUGGAGCUGAAUCAGAACUAUAGGGUGGAUGUGACCUUGAAAUAGUCUGUUACGAUGGACGAUUUGUGUGCCUGUGCAUUGUUAUGGACAAUCUUGACCCGUCUAGUACGGGUGGCUGGACAAGCAGUUUUAGAAUGUUUAAUGACCUUAGAUAUGACAUUUUCAUUAUAGAACUGACAAGUAUUAUUCGUAUAUUCUGUAUUUUAAGGACUGGAAAUUCAAUAGAAAUGGAAUUAUAAUGUAGAUAUAAAAACUAAACUUUAA